UACGUAGGCAGCAAGCGUUGUUCGGAAUUACUGGGCGUAAAGAGUGUGUAGGCGGUGCUCCAAGUCUGGUGUGAAAUCUCCCGGACUUAACUGGGAGGGUGCAUUAGAAACUGGAAUGCUGAGAGGAUGGGAGAGGUAAGCGGAAUUCCUGGAUGUAGCGGUGAAAUGCGUAGAUAUCAGGAGGAACACCUGGUGGUGUAGACGCUUACUGGACCAUUCUGACGCUGGAGACACGAAAGCCGUGGGUAGCAAACAGGAUAGAUACC
rnacentral:rRNA from 1 species